UACGAAGGGGGCUAGCGUUGUUCGGAUUUACUGGGCGUAAAGCGCACGUAGGCGGAUCGUUAAGUCGGGGGUGAAAUUCUGGAGCUCAACUCCAGAACUGCCUUCGAUACUGGCGAUCUAGAGUCCGGAAGAGGUGAGUGGAACUCCUAGUGUAGAGGUGGAAUUCGUAGAUAUUAGGAAGAACACCAGUGGCGAAGGCGGCUCACUGGUCCGGUACUGACGCUGAGGUGCGAAAGCGUGGGGAGCAAACAGG
rnacentral:rRNA from 1 species